AUCAUGUUAAAACAUCGGUUCCUGUACGAUCAACGAAGUUAAGCAACGUCAAGCUUGGUCAGUAUCUAGAUAGGUGACCACUUGGGAAUACCAGCUGGGG